ACGUAGGGUGCAAGCGUUGUCCGGAAUUAUUGGGCGUAAAGAGCUCGUAGGCGGUUUGUCGCGUCUGCUGUGAAAACCUGGGGCUUAACUCCGGGCCUGCAGUGGGUACGGGCAGACUAGAGUGCGGUAGGGGAGACUGGAAUUCCUGGUGUAGCGGUGAAAUGCGCAGAUAUCAGGAGGAACACCGGUGGCGAAGGCGGGUCUCUGGGCCGUAACUGACGCUGAGGAGCGAAAGCGUGGGGAGCGAACAGGAUUAGAUACCCUGGUAGUCCACGCCGUAAACGUUGGGCGCUAGGUGUGGGGCUCUUUCCACGAGUUCCGUGCCGCAGCAAACGCAUUAAGCGCCCCGCCUGGGGAGUACGGCCGCAAGGCUA
rnacentral:rRNA from 1 species